UAUCAAUGACAUUUGAUUGAAAAGUAAAAUUUGUUGUCUGUUUUCUUUAAGUUAGUAUAGUACGCUAGAAAUUUUGUGCAUGUACUUGAUCUUCUAGCUUAUGCUCGAUGAAUGGGGGAUUGCAGAACGAAGGGCUCCAAAGAGUCCAGCCUAUUUCUAUAGAGAGGGGAUUAUGGUCCUCGCUUGAAGGGAUAAGGUUGAAUACGGAUCAUGUCCGCUAAAAAUUUUGGUUGUCCUCCUUGUGUUAAAAUCCAGGUCGUUCUGGUAUGACGUACAUUCAGCGUUACAUAGCAAAGAAAUGGAGAGAUAGCCACAAGGGAAAUGGGUGAAUCCUGUCAUUUCUACAGGACACACCGUUUUUCCAUCUCGGAGUUCGAGGACUCCUGGUUAGUGGGCUUGGAUGAACUCCAUUAGGUUUCCUUAAAUUUCCUACUUUGACAUGAUUUAUGUCUAAUUCCUAAAGAUUGGAAUGAUCUAGAGAUGUUGCUUCUCCAGGAUAGUGUGCAUGAACAAGCAUCCAUGGAAUGUAAUUUACAGAAGGAAGCAAAUUUUACUAUACUUGAAUAAAUAAAUUAUGAAACUGUU